UCGUUGAUGGGGUAGUGCACGACUCGUUAAAGCAAAUCCUCUCAGCGGCAACUCAUCGAGUAAUAGUGCAACAAAUAUUUACGUAAGAUUCAGAAAUGUUGAAACGGCUGUGUCAAGUGUUAAGAGGCUAAAGGCGUGGACAAAUGCUCACCGAUAGAGUCACACAGCAGCGGUCAAACACGCCCUGCAGUAUAAGGCGGGAGUCACGAUUGGCGGGUACACGGUGCGCCAGGUUGAAGAAAUCAAAGAACUGCACCUCGCUACUGUUCGGCUUUUGGAUGAAAAAAAAAAAAAAAAAAAAAAAAAAACAGGCGCGGACUUUCUCCACAUCACCUGUACGAUCGCACCCGUACGUAUGCAGUGUCAGUGCGAGAUCGGAACAUGCUUUAACAGAAGGAUAAAAGUAUCGUCCCGUGCUUUUUGUGAUCCACUUAUUUUUUUAUUUAGCUGGGUGGGAUAGCUUACACAUCCCACCUGUGCCGGGUGUGCACUUGCUUACGACGAGCUGCUGUGUGUACACAGGAAGCUGCUGAAACAGCCUGGUAAAUAAUAAGAGGCGCCCUGCGGAUAAGUUGCCGUGAUAAACUGACACAUACUUUUCUCUUAAAUCCUAGGAAACUUAAGGCAGUAUUUGUACUAUCAUUUAUUGAGAUCUU
rnacentral:lncRNA from 1 species